rnacentral:tRNA from 1 species
GAUAGGGUGGCCGAAAGUUCAGGCGGUGGGCUGUAGUCCCAUAUAUAGAGGUUAAAUUCCUUUUCUUAUCA